AUCAGAGUUCAUCUAGAGAAGCACUGUGCAAGAAGUUGAAUGACUACAUGUGUCUCAUGCAUAGAUUACCUGCUUGAAGAGAGAAAGUAACACACAAAACUACAGAACUCCUUUUGAAACAGACCAGAAGGGUGUCAUGUAACUUCAACUGAAUGGCUGUGUGUGAGUGGUGGACAGCAGUCAAGUGCCUCGCAAGAAAGUGGCUUAGAAACACAGGAAGCCCAGACAGAUACUGAAGUUUUGAGACAACACUCUGCUGCUGGUUACUAAGAAGCCCAAAGGUACAAGCUCAUACACAAGACAAUGCAGUUCCAAUGGAUUUACUUCGUCAUCAUUCUCUUCAGACCAAAGCAAGACUUUGCUCGGGUUCACCAGCUGAGUACUUCUGUCUUGGUAUACUUUUUCUCAGAAAAACAAAUUUUUAGUGACUCACUGAUUCACUGAUGGCAAAUGUGGUCACUUUAGCUGGUGAUUCAGUGCUUGUGUUGCUGGCACACCAAGCAUGACUUGCUCUCCCUCAUGAGCACUGUGGUCUAAGUGAGGCGGCAACAGGUAUUGGUAUUGUAUGGAGCAAAAGUAUUGGCUUUUAAUAUAGUAAUGUACACCAAACACACUGACUUCAAGCAAAGUAUUUCAAUUUCAUAAAGUUACAAAAUAUUACAUGAGCCAGAAAUCAGGAACUGAGAGUCUGUGUACCAAAUAAUACAACCAUGAUCAUGCCACAUACACACACACACACACACAGAGCUACCUCAUCGCUUGGUUCACAUCCCUCAGCAAGACAAUCCAUGAGUCAUAUCAAGAGAGCAACAAUCCCACACCACACAGUGCAGACAGGAAGACACACAGUAUCAUCUCGAAGUACAUCCUCAGUCACAUGCACAUCCCUUACUGCUACACCACAAUCUGAGUGUCUCCCAUGGUCAUUAAUUUACUGCUAUAACCACACAUUGUGUUAUACUAGAAGGGACUUUUCAAACUAAACAAUGCUCAAAGUCACCAAGAGAUCAGGAUGACAUUAUGGGUAUAAAAAAAAAGGUAGAUUUUUGAGAAUUCCACAAAAUUCCAUCAUGGAUUUUUUUUUCUCAGGUAAUGACUGUAAAUGUUUAAAAAAAAAACUCAUGGUCUAGACUGAAGAAAAGACAAGCUUUUCAUUAAUUUUAUACCUCAAAAUCAGAACGCCUCCUUUAGAACAUGUUUGCACCACAUCUUAGAACCAAAAAUACAACAACUAAAAAUAAACAAAAAAGUUAACAAAAAUCAAAUAGAAAAUGACAUGGUUAAGGAGAGAAAGAAACAGCACAUGCAAAAAUUUUGGAUCCCUAUAUUAACAAGACUUUUCCUUUCCUGCUCCAGUUAUCAAAUCUUCACAUCCACUACUGGUUUAUGAAAACUGACACUUUGUGACUCUGAGCAUGCCAAGGGGUGCACUGGGAGGAAGACUUUGGUAUGGCAGACUAGGUGGUAGAAAAGCCCUUUUAAGAGUACAGCUUUAGAGGAAGGGCUGUAUUGGGAGACCUAAUGUGGAAUGGCAUUGUAGGAAGCAAUGAAAUGGAGGGACUGCUUAAACUGCAUUCAGAUGUGGAAUGGCAUUGUGGGAAGCAAUGAAAUGGAGGGGCUGCUCAAACUGCAUUCAGAUAAUUCACUAAUACCACACUCUUGCCUUUAAGGGUCAGGGCGGCCAGCACAAGCAUCACCAAUGCCGCGAGGAAGAGGCAGAUGUGAGGCAGUGUGACAGAAGAACAAGGCAGUGGCAAAGGAGAAGGGAGAGAGAAACCAAGGUAUGGACACAAAGGAUGGGAGGAAUGGAUGAAAAGGAUGAAGAGAGAGAAGUUAGGGAAUAUAAAACUUAAGGACAGGAAACAGUUUAAGAAAUAAAGGAUGAAAAGAAUCAAGAUACAAAAUGAAGAUGAGGGAUAAGAGAAAAUAUAAAUGAAAGAAGAGAUAAUAGUAAUAAAAGAAAGACCACACAAUUUUUUCAGCAAAAAGAUAUAUUAGUAAGAAAUUUUCAAAGAAAAAUAAAAAAUGAAAAAUCUAAAUAUCUCAACAAAAGCAGCCUUUAAAACAUCACAAUGAAUGUAAUGCAUAAAAAACCUCAGGAAUGAACUUUCCAAAAAAUUGCAAGAUAGGAGCUGUUUUACAAAUGAAUACAUAUCACAUCACAACAUCGUGUGCUUCUGGCAUCUGAUUCCUGCAUGCAUAUAUGUGAGCUUUAGUCAGAGGACUUAAUAAGUUAUUAGAAAUUUUCACGCAAGGAACAUGAUAUCACAGCCUAACUUAAACAGUGAGCAAAAAUAUUUGUACAAAAAGCAACGAACAGAUCAAUGUCAACCAUUCUGGAUGACUAUUUGCUGAGUGAAAAUUAUCAAUGACAAGAAACAUCCUUCUGCGUCAUAUAAGUUAACAAACUGCUUAAUAUAAACCACGUUAAUCUCAAAACAACUUGCAAGGCUUGAUUAUUUAAUCAAAUGUAGUGUAAAAGGCAAUGAGAAAUAUUUUCUGUAGACUACAAAAAUCUUUCAAGAUAAUAAAGCAGAAAUAUAGACAAAAAAAAAUAAAAUAAAAAUAUGGGAGCAAUAAGAUAAGCUCCUAUUAAAUAAUAAGUUGACCACUGAUGACAAUGGCAUGGUUUCCUUACUUAACCUAAUGUUCAGUAAAGUUUUUACCAAAGUAAAAUAAUUCCUGAACUACUGAAUGCAUCUCAAGAUUGUUGUACAGAAAUGCUCACCACAUAUUAAACAAUCACAUAAGGUGUGCAAAAUCAAGGAAAAAAAAUAGUGAAAAUAAAUGUAUAAGACCUGACAAAGAACCACUGCACAUAAAAAAAUGCAGCAUCCAGUCAGGAAAUCAUAAUAAUAUUCAGUAAAUCAUUACCUCAGUACAUUACUUGUGUAUGGAAAAGGGCAAGCAUAAUGCCACUCUUCAAAACAGGCUAAUAACAAGCUCCUCAUUAUCAUUUGAUCAGUCUGAUGACAUUUAUUGUAGUUAUAAAGCAAAAAUCAUCAAACAAAAUUGUGUCACUACUUCAAAUUAAACAACAGAAAAAAAGCACAAGACUUUUUUUGUAAUAACAGAUUAUGCCCAGCCAUCUAUUAGCAUCUCAGACAACAUAUUCUUGAGGAAAUUAUCAUUUGGUUUUCAUAAUGUUUAUUAAUGACUUGUGGUUGUGGUAGAAGAUAGUAAACUAAUUAAGAAAAAAGAAACAGCCCAAUACAAUUAAAGAAAUCAAAAUCUUUCUGAGACCUUCAGGUAAACUGUUUAAUAACAAAUACAUAAACUAACAGACAUGAAGACUACUUAAGAUCAAUUUAGUGAGAUACCUGAGUCAUCUCUAGUAUCUGACAAUAAAUGGGAAAUGUGAAUCCCCACUCAAUAAAUCUUUUAGUCACUGCUGCCUACCCUCUGUACUGAUGUUAAGGGUGAUCCUUAGCCCUAAUGCCAGGCAGGCCACCUUGCUUAGAACAAAGGUCAUGGUGGACUGCUUCUAUAUGACACUAUUUAACUGUUUUCUUUAUCUUUUGAAAGGUGAGUGUUUUUACUUCAUCUUUUAGGGGGGGAAUCUAUAUAUCAUCACAUUAAGGAGCCCAUGGUAAACAAGUCCAGCCUUCUUUGAUAUCAUCACAGCUGCCCAUCCACCAUGAUGCUUCCCGCUGAGACCAGACACACCAACCCUUGCUCUACAAUUUUGAAUAAUACAGUGGCUUGUAAUUACUUUGCUCAACCACCUACUUAUAUCUCAAUGAUAAUACAUAAUGCUUAUUCUGAUAUUUGUAGAUAAUGCACAUGUCAUCACAAACCUGUAUCUAUGAUUGGAAUGUACAUGGCUUUUAAUCAUGUGAUGCCACUACACUCAGGCACACAAAGAAUUGCACAGUGGCUUUCAAACUAAAUUUGUUCAUGGGUACUUUCUUUAAUUGCCUAUUUAUGUUUCCUAUGAUGAUUUGUAAUUUCAAUGUACAUGUUACUGGUAUUCAUAGUUAAUGUAAAUACAACUGGACGAACAUAUUUCUAAUUGGUACAAAUUGUAUGUAAUUCAACUCAAAUAAAUGCAUUCUUUCUUAUCCCUCCUAGAGAGAGAGAGAGAGAGAGAGAGAGAGAGAGAGAGAGAGAGAGAGAGAGAGAGAGAGAGAGAGAGAGAGAGAGAGAGAGAGAGAGAGAGAGAGAGAGAGAGAGAGAGAGAGAGAGAGAAAGGUGGGGGGCUGUUAGUAAUGUACAUUUCAUUUUAAAGAUAUGUACUUCAAGAGGUGUUUACAUAAACUAUGAAUAUCAGUAAUAUAUAGGAAUUCCAAAGGAUUGUAAGAAAUAUAUAGACAACUGAGGAGAGUAACACUGAAAAAAUUUUGUUUGAAAGCCAUGAUGUAAUGUAUUGAGCAUCUGGUGUAGUGCAGGAACUGUACAUAACAAUCAUGGAUGUGUGACUCUGGUGACAUUUAUUUUAGUUAUGAAAACCAUUAAUAUAUGUGUAACAAACUGCUGUAGGAGGCAAGAACAAGCAGAUGAGAAAUCCUACUACAAAUAUGUUAUUCAAAGCUGUAGUGUGAGAUUUUGUGUGACUGGUCUCAGUAGGAACAGCAUGACUGUGGGCAGUCCAUGACAUCAUCAAAGUGAGUGGGGGCUCGUUUCGCCAGGGAUUAAUGGCGUAACUAUGGUAAUAUGAAAUCAACCUUAUUUUACUGAUCUCUUAGAUGUGAAGUACAGUGACAGCACCUGAUGUUGCACCACAGGAAGUACUACAGCCUGUCUGCAUGGUGUGCAAAUGUCUUCCUGGGAGAAAGUUCGUCUCUUCCUGAAUGUUCUUUCCCAUAAAAUAAACAAAACUAUCAAAUAGCAGUAUUAAUCUAUUGCUGUAAGAUAAAUAUACAACAGCAGGAAACACCUAGAAAGAUCUGAUGGUGGACCACAUGUUAAUUUAAGAAAAAAAAUUUUGGCAAUUUACUUGCUGCUGUUGCAUGCUGUUAUUGUAUUUUCAUCACACCAAUGUAGAUAGAUCAAUACAUGCUAUUUAAUUUUUUUGUUCAUUUUACAUGAAAAGAGAAUAUUUAUAAAGAAAAUAACUCUCCCAGGCAGAAAACAUUCUUACACUUCACAGAUGACCUCAAGUAUUGCAGUUAUGGAAGGUAACAUUUAGUUUGUGAAUUUGUGUUUCCAGAAGUGAAUUUUUUGUUUCCAGUGCUCAGCUCUGCUUUUCAGAAUUCAAAACUUCAUAAAUGGGACAUGGAUAUAACUGUUGCAUCUAACAGGACAUACAUAAGUACACACACAUACAGAAAUGUAGAAGAGGAAGAGAAGAAAAAAGGAAGAGAAAAGGAGGAGGAAGAUUGAUUAAGGAGUCAUAAUAAAAGGAAGAGUAGGAGGUAACAGGAAAAGGGAAUAGGAACUACAAGAGCUGGAAAUGUUAAUGCUGGUUCGCGAUCUCUGAAAGACAGAGGAACAGAAAUGCAAGAAGAAAUACAAUGCAGUGCUAAAGCUUUAUGCUGCUGCUGCUGCUGCUGCCUAUUUAGUUGUUAGGUUUUUUGAUUGCUAAAAAAAAUAUCUAUGAUGUUACUGUUAAUAUAUAGUGUGUGUGUGUUUUUGUGUUAUGUGUGGAUAUGCAAACAUAAUGCUAGAAUGUAAAUAAAAAUAAAAACAAAUAAAAAAA